rnacentral:rRNA from 1 species
UGGGCAACCUGCCCCUAGCUCUGGGAUAACUGCGGGAAACUGUAGCUAAUACCGGAUGUGACACGAGACUGCAUGGUCUUCGUGUGGAAAGAUUUAUCGGCUAGGGAUGGGCCCGCGGUCUAUCAGCUUGUUGGUGGGUAAUGGCUCACCAAGGCGACGACGGAUAACCGGCCUGAGAGGGCGACCGGUCACACUGGGACUGAGACACGGCCCAGACCUCCGUACGGGAGGNA